AAGGAUUCCCCUAGUAACUGCGAGUGAAGCGGGAAAAGCUCAAAUUUAAAAUCUGGCGGUCUCAGACUGUCCGAGUUGUAAUCUAGAGAAGUGUUAUCCGCGCUGGACCGUGUACAAGUCUCCUGGAAUGGAGCGUCAUAGAGGGUGAGAAUCCCGUCUUUGACACGGACUGCCAGGGCUUUGUGAUGCGCUCUCAAAGAGUCGAGUUGUUUGGGAAUGCAGCUCAAAAUGGGUGGUAAAUUCCAUCUAAAGCUAAAUAUUGGCGAGAGACCGAUAGCGAACAAGUACCGUGAGGGAAAGAUGAAAAGAACUUUGGAAAGAGAGUUAAACAGUACGUGAAAUUGCUGAAAGGGAAACGCUUGAAGUCAGUCGCGUUGGCCAGGGAUCAACCUUGCUCUUGCUGGGUGUACUUUCUGGUUAACGGGUCAACAUCAAUUUUGAUUGUUGGAAAAAGAUCAAGGGAAUGUGGCAUCUUCGGAUGUGUUAUAGCCUUUGGUUGUAUACAACAAUUGGGAUUGAGGAACUCAGCACGCCGAAAGGCCGGGUUUUUAACCACGUUCGUGCUUAGGAUGUUGGCAUAAUGGCUUUAAUCGACCCGUCUUGAAACACGGACCAAGGAGUCUAACAUGCCUGCGAGUGUUUGGGUGGAAAACCCGAGCGCGUAAUGAAAGUGAAAGUUGAGAUCCCUGUCGUGGGGAGCAUCGACGCCCGGACCAGAAAUUUAUGGACGGUUCCGCGGUAGAGCAUGUAUGUUGGGACCCGAAAGAUGGUGAACUAUGCCUGAAUAGGGUGAAGCCAGAGGAAACUCUGGUGGAGGCUCGUAGCGAUUCUGACGUGCAAAUCGAUCGUCAAAUUUGGGUAUAGGGGCGAAAGACUAAUCG
rnacentral:rRNA from 1 species